AUUGUCCAUAUGUCUUAAAUAUGAAAAAACAUUUAUAUUUCGUCCACAAUGUCUUUUUUUCCACACUGUUCGACGUUUCAUUUUCAAUAAUUGAAUUUAAGAAGAACACAAAAACUACGCGGUUCACGGAUUCACAGCAGACACCAUUUAUUGAUACAACUGCAUGAACACAUUUCUUUAUACAACCCAGAUCCCCAACACGAAUAACAAAACAAAACCCAGAAACAAAAAAGAAAAAUCAGAUGGUUCGAGAUUAGUAAUUCGGUACAAACAAACACAGAUUCGAGAUCAGACACCCCAAAACCCCAAUUUUAAACAUUUUGGAUCCGAACUCGAAUCAAUCAUUUGGGACCGUGAGGGGCAAAGUUGAGCAAUUGCUUGGAACGGAGCCACGGCUUCACCACCACCUCGGAAUCGAACAACCUGUGAACCCCAUUCCUCACCGCCGACACCUUGAGGUAGUACUUGAUCCCGGAAACCACCUGGCUCUGCGCCUCCACCACCUCCAAGAACUGAAGCUCUCCGCCGCCGUCCAUCUUCUGGGUACCCCUCUGCCUGUUAUACUCCUCUACCGAAAACCUCCCCAACUCUUGAACCUCCUUGUUCGUCUUCACGUUCUCGAUCUCCUUCCUUCCUCCGACCAUGCCGCCGUACCCAUUCGACGCGACGAAGAGGAGGCAGAUCAGGAGGGCAAAAAUCGGAACUUUCAUCAUGAUUUUGUAUUGUUUGUUGGAAAUCAGGAAAUUGAUUCGACUUUGUUAGUGGUUUUUCUGGGUUUUCAAAAUUUGCUGCGGAUGAGGAUUGAAAUUGAUGGGUUUUGGCAGAAUCUGGUGGGUCUUGUAGUUGUAGGACUUAUCUUUCUGGGGGUAGAUCGUGGAGGAAAUAGAGGGCGUUUGGACACGCAAAUUAAG
rnacentral:sRNA from 1 species